ensembl:lncRNA
CUUGUCUGGCAGCGGUCAGUCUUAUAACAAAGGUGAGAGAACUCAGUCAAAGCACAGCGGAUUCAAGGCUGCUAUAUCUGUGCAAAAGACAGACGUGUCUGCCACAGUUGAUGCAGACUCCACAAGCACUACAGAGGCUGAGAGAAGAGACAAUGAUCUAGCCCGAUACUGUCCUGUGCACAAGAAAACUCAUCCUUUGGAAAAAUGUAGGUUAUUCAGAAUGAAAACAUUGCAGGAACGAAAAAGCAUCCUAAAGGAACACAAACGCUGUUUUAAGUGCUGCUCUCCAAGGCACCAGGCCAAGGAUUGUCAAGCGACUUUGAAAUGCGGCGAGUGUGAGAGCGAAAGACACUGCUCUGCAAUGCACCCUCUCACCUCCCAACCUCCUGCUUCACUGACCACUCUAGAACCAGACGCAGAAGCACGAGGCAGUCCUCCACUCGAGGUGACAUCACGAUGCACCAAGGUCUGUGGAAAGGGCAGCCUCACGCGGUCCUGCUCAAAGGUGUGCCUGGUGCGUGUCUUCCCCCGGGGUCAACCGGAGCACUCCAUCAAAAUGUAUGUCAUCAUUGACGAUCAGAGUAACCGCUCACUGGCCUGCUCUGAAUUUUUCCACCUGUUCCGGGUUGAGAGCAACCUGUCACCAUACCUGAUGAAGACAUGCGCAGGCACCACGGAGAUGACUGGAAGAAAGGCGGUAGGCUUUCAAAUUGAAGCAGUGAAUGGAGGUGUGUGCAUGGACCUUCCACCACUCAUUGAGUGCAAUGAGAUAAUGACCAAUAGAUCUGAGAUUCCAACUCCAGAGGUCGCUCUCGCGCACGCUCACCUAAGGCACAUUGCUCCCCACAUUCCCAAGCUAGAUCCUGACGCGCAGAUGAUGAUCCUGCUAGGGAGAGACAUGAUACGUGUGCACAAGGUGCGAGAGCAACUCAAUGGACCACAUAAUGCACCCUUUGCUCAGCGUCUAGACUUAGGCUGGGUAAUUGUAGGUGACGUGUGUAUUGACAAUGCUCAUAAACCAACUCUGAGUGUCUUCAGAACCCACAUCCUACAGAACGGACGCCCGUCUCUCCUCACUCCUUGCCAUAACAGCAUCAGGGUAAAGGAAAAACCGUGCUACGGCGGGGAGCGCAGGUAUGGUCUCUCUACAUCCACGUCAAAACCUAUGCAACCUGAAGACAAGCUCGGGCUUAGGGUCUUUCAGCGUACAGACAAUGACAACAAAUGUGCCAUGUCCUUCGAGGAUGAGAUCUUUCUAAAGAUUAUGGAGAAAGAAGUCCAUCAGGAUGAAAAGAACAAUUGGGUAGCUCCCUUACCGUUCAAGUCACCUCGUCCCCCACUCCCGAACAACAGAGAGCAAGCACUGUCCCGCCUUAGGUCUUUAAGACGCACUCUGAGCAAAAACGCGGAGAUGAAGCAACAGUUUUCCUCCUUCAUGGAAAAGCUCUUCGAGAACAAACAUGCAGAAAAGGCACCACCCAUCCAUGAGAAGCAAGAAUGUUGGUACCUGCCCAUUUUUGGGGUGUACCAUCCGCAGAAGCCAGGGCAGAUACGAGUCGUGUUUGACUCAAGCGCCCAACAACACGGUGUCUCCCUCAACUCAGUGCUGCUUACAGGCCCCGAUCUGAACAAUACUCUCCUGGGUGUGCUGUUACGGUUUAGGAAGGAUCUCAUCGCAGUCACUGCUGAUAUCCAACAGAUGUUUUAUGGAUUCCUGGUAAAGCACGACCACAGAGACUACCUGAGAUUCCUGUGGCAUAAAGACAAUGACCUAUCCAAAGAGAUAGAAGAAUAUCGCAUGCGAGUGCAUGUCUUUGGCAAUAGCCCAU